rnacentral:lncRNA from 10 species
CGGAAUUGCUGAAGUUGUGAAGGUUGAUGCUGUGAAUGCGCUCGGUCAUCCCCUUGCAACUGAUGUCACCUGCAGCAUGUCAACGCAGACACAAAACAGGGCAUGGGUCAGAUCUAGCUGGUUGCAUUCCUAACACCUAGGUUUCAGAGUAAAAAUACAGAGUCAGCUUGUGAUGGCAUUCCCUCAAAACAUGGAAGGAAUUGCAGUAAUGAAAGUCAUCAUGUAUUCUAAGAGACUGUUCUGCGAGAGCACAACACAGACGGGGCUAAAGCAGGGAUUGUCUAAGCCCAGUGUGGAGGAACCAUCAAGGAUUUCAGCACGUUUUUUUAGCCAUUGUGAGAAGCAAAAGUGCUCAGGAGUUAAGAGAAGCAGACGUCCGAAAUUAUCUCCAUGCAUUACCAAAAACCGUGGGCACCACGGCACGGGGAAAACUUACCAGGUACAAUGAGCCAGUGACUGUUACUGAAUUUCUUAAGAUUACACUUUUCCCAACUACUGCAGACUGCUUCAGAAUAGAAGAAGACAACUCUCAUGCCAUCAAGCCGACGGACUUUCAAAAAAAUAAAAGAUGCAUUUCUUUACUUGAGCUACGGUGAAAGGGCACCUAAGGUGAAUGGACAGAUUGUAGAUGGGUGCACACAGGAAAAUGUACAGCUCCUACAAUGUAUUCUGAGGGCCCAUGAGAAGUAAAAGCAGGCACUGGCAUUCUGCACAGAUGAAAUACUUCCUACGACAGGAAUACAUGCUCACUUGUGGACUUCUCUGUAAUCUGUAGGCAACAUCAGCUCCUGAUUUCUAGGUCUGGAUCUGGGUUCUCUGUAGCACAGGAAGGUCUCUACUUCUCCUACAUAAAUGCCUUGCAUGGCGGGAACUAAAUCAACUACACAGACCCAUACAUCCAGAGAGCAGAGGUGAGCUGGAUACAAGUGGCUUAGAGAUGUGGUGGAAGGAGGCCAGAGCUCCAAGGGAAGGGCAGCAAGGAGACAACAGCAUGGGUUGCAGCUCAGACAACAGGUAAAUAAAACCAAGCAAAGCUGCUGGUCACAGAUUUGACCAGGGUGGCAAGAAAUGACAAGCUACCAUGAGAUUCAACAGUGGCACGGAAGGAUGAUGAGAAGCAAACAGAUUAGGAGAAGCUGCCACCACCGUACAUAGAGGCACAGAUGACCAAGCAGAACAGCACCAGUCCCUGCAAGGUGUGCUCAGAUACAGCUCAGCACAGCCAUCUGGCCAGGAGGGAAUGAUAAUGCACAUGGUGUGCACUGCAGCCGGGAAGUUGAGAACCGCUGUGGGCACCUCAGGACUGAGUCUGGUUACCCUGCUGAUCCAAGAAAUGAAGCCAUCUAAAAUUUUGCCUGCUUUCACAAUUUUCUGUGUGUGUGUGUGUGUAUUAAACAAAGUGAACUAAGAAGCCUUUUAUUGGAGACAUAAUGUACUCACAGUAGUUUCAAAAUCAAUGGUGUCACUCUUCAGGUAAAUUACUCCAAGGCUUGGGCCUAGUGCAGAUGUUCAUUGGGGCAGGGAGCAGAGAGCGGCUGCAUCUAGAUCAGACAAAAAACAAAAAUAAGGUUGUUAAAUGAACAGGUGAUGGUGAUGGCAAUUAUUUAUUUUGAUAGGAAAG